rnacentral:rRNA from 1 species
GACGAACGCUGGCGGCGUGCUUAACACAUGCAAGUCGAACGGAAAGGCCCCUUUGGGGGUACUCGAGUGGCGAACGGGUGAGUAACACGUGAGUAACCUGCCCUUGACUUCGGGAUAACUUCAGGAAACUGGGGCUAAUACCGGAUAGGAAUCCUUGCUGCAUGGUGGGGGUUGGAAAGCUUCGGCGGUUUUGGAUGGACUCGCGGCUUAUCAGCUUGUUGGUGGGGUAGUGGCUUACCAAGGCUUUGACGGGUAGCCGGCCUGAGAGGGCGACCGGCCACAUUGGGACUGAGAUACGGCCCAGACUCCUACGGGAGGCAGCAGUGGGGAAUAUUGCCCCAUGGGCGGGAGCCUGAUGCAGCAACGCCGCGUGCGGGAUGACGGCCUUCGGGUUGUAAACCGCUUUCAGCAGGUGCGAAGCUUGUGGUGACGGUACCUGCAGAAGAAGCACCGGCUAACUACGUG